UACGGGGGGAGCAAGCGUUGUUCGGAUUACUGGCGUAAAGGGCGCGUAGGCGGUCGUGACAAGUCACUUGUGAAAUCUCCGGGCUUAACUCGGAACGGUCAAGUGAUACUGUCGGACUAGAGUACAGAAGGGGCAACUGGAAUUCUCGGUGUAGCGGUGAAAUGCGUAGAUAUCGAGGGGAACACCUGCGGCGAAGGCGGGAUUGCUGGGCUGAUACUGACGCUGAGGCGCGAAAAGCCAGGGGAGGCGAAACGGG
rnacentral:rRNA from 1 species